rnacentral:rRNA from 1 species
GCGGAUCCGCGGCCGCUGCAGAGUUUGAUCCUGGCUCAGGACGAACGUUGGCGGCGUGCCUAAUACAUGCAAGUCGAGCGGACCCAUGGGAGCUUACUCCCUUGGGUCAGCGGCGAACGGGUGAGUAACACGUGGGUAACCUGCCUGUAAGACUGGGAUAACUCCGGGAAACCGGGGCUAAUACCGGAUGCUUGAUUGAGCCGCAUGGUUCAAUUAUAAAAGGUGGCUUUCAGCUACCACUUGCAGAUGGACCCCCGGCGCAUUAGCUAGUUGGUGAGGUAACGGCUCACCAAAGGCAACGAUGCGUACCCGACCUGAGAGGGUGAUCGCCACACUGGGACUGAGACACGGCCCAGACUCCUACGGGAGGCAACAGUAGGGAAUCUUCCCCAAUGGACGAAAGUCUUACGGAGCAACGCCGCGUGAGUGAUGAAGGUUUUCGGAUCCUAAAACUCUGUUGUUAGGGAAGAACAAGUGCCCUUCGAAUAGGGCGGCACCUUUACGGUACCUAACCAGAAAGCCACGGCUAACUACGUGCCAGCAGCCGCGGUAAUACGUAGGUGGCAAGCGUUGUCCGGAAUUAUUUGGCGUAAAGCGCGCGCAGGCAGUUUCUUAAGUCUUAUGUGAAACCCCCCAUCUCAACCGGGGAGGGUCAUUUAGA